rnacentral:lncRNA from 1 species
GAUAUUGUAAUCAAAAGUAUGAGUUCAUUAUUUUAUUGAGUCUAAACAAUUUUGUCUAAUCAUGACUUGUACAUAAAACAAGCCUAUUUUAGCUUGAAGCAAGACAUGUAAGAACUAUUAUAACUAAUAAAUGCUUGGAAGAAUGAACAUUUAUAAAGAAUCAAUGGAACUGUAGACCAUGAUGAUAGAGAUGAAAGAAGAAGAAGAAGAAUUGUAGAUUGAGUGUUUGUCUACUCUCCUUUUGAAAGGAUCAAGAUCUUUUGUUUUACCAACUCAAAGUCGAUAAUGGACAUUCUAAAUUAAGAAUACAUAACAUUGAUCAUGAUAUACAUUAAGAAACCAAAAAUCAUGUUUCUUUGAAACCUCCUAACCAUUCAUCAAAUAGCACAACCAUCAACAGUUAUAAUAGUAUUAAUGUAGCAAUGAUAUAUGUAAUAACUUAUCUAAGCGGCUCAUAACCAAAGUCUAUACUCAUUAUUAUAUUUUACUAGUGGCUUCAUCAACAAUGACAAAUUCUUGAUCGAAUUAUAAACCUAGAUUUGAGUUUGCUUUAGCACAUUCAAUUGUCUCCAAUAAUUAUGAAAAAGAUUUAGUAGCCCAAUCCAAACAUAAAAAUUCAAAUUACUAGUGUUUUCCACCAAUAUGAAUGCUCUAUAACCUUAAAAAUAAAAUAAAAUAAAAUCUAUUAAUAGAAAUAUACCUAUUUAUAGUAUCCAAAAAUGCCAAUUACCUAUAUAAUCCACAUAUAGAUUCAACCACGAAGAACACUCCUUUUUGAAAAUCUUUCUUAGUUCACUUUAGUACUAUGAAAGAUCCACAUACAAAUUCCACUUUAAUACUAUGAAACUCUUUCUUAGGCGAUAAACUAGAAUACGUGAUCUACAUAUAGUUUCAUUAGAGGUUAUUGCCUCACAACUUCUUGCUAAUAAAUCCAAAAUUUGCAACCGAACAAUUAAUAAUAGAACAAGAACGUUAUCAUGGUUUGCACCCGCAUCAAGUUUGGGAUUCCAAAUCACUUAAAUGACGAUUGAAUAAGUACAUAUGGCAUAAUUAACCUACUAAUGUAACACUAUAAUCCAUAGCCAAAACCUCUUGCACUCAUCUUAGGUCAACCCACUUAUUGAAAUUAGAAACAUAUAUCAUCUAGCCCUUCAGUACUCAUCGUUUGCCAAACCCCAUGCAUAAAUGUUAUCACAAUACCUAGCGAUCUUAAACCUAGGCUCUGAAUCUAUUCUGUUACUUUUGUCAUAUCCCUAGUGAUCAUAACCUUAAGCUCUAAUACAACUUUUGUCACAGUCCCUAGUGAUCUUAAAUCUAUGCUCUGACACCACUUCUAUCAUGCUCCAAACCUAUCAUCCAGGUCGACCACAUGACACAACUUGCAUACUCCUUAGGACAAGGCUCUUCAGAACAUGUAAAGCUUGAAGAUUCAUUGCAACCUCAAUAUUAGUAAAUAAUAAUGAUCUCGAUUCAUAACAAGUAAUAAACUUGUACAAUUUCAAAAUUCAAUCAUCUAACUGGUAUCAACCUAUUUAUCAUUUCACCCAUGAUCCUAACCAUAACCAAGUACUAAGAAUUCUGCAACUCUAAAAAGAAAAGAAAAAAGUUAGUGUGAGCUUUACAGCCUAGUAAGAUUCUCUGCCCAUCUGUACCAAUAUAAUAUUAUAAUUUGAGAAUAGUAAUAAACGAUAUCAAAAUGAAAACAUAAAUUAUGGUACCUCUUUUCAAACAUUCAGUAUCACUCAAUUAAACUGACAAAUAUCUGCAUAAACAUACAUCAAAUAUUUGGCUUAUCAAAAGGGAUAUAUAUAUCACAAAUACCAACAACCAAAACAUUUUAUUUAGCAUUGGUUUCAUAUGUCUUAUCAUCCAUUUCUUAUUAUCUCAAUUCUAGGUUCUAUAAUAAUUUACUUUCCAGCUUUGGACUAACCAAGAUCAUGUCUGAGUCCAUGACUGAUAAACAAAGUUUUUAUGCAUAAGCUCGUGGAGGCUACCCCACGUAUAAGCUUGUGGAGGCUGUUCUACGUAUAAGCUUAUGGAGGCCAUCUCAUGCAUAAGCUCAUUGAGGCCGUCCCACACAUAACCCCGUGAAGGCUAUCCACAUGACGAGUU